GAUGAACGCUGGCGGCGUGCUUAACACAUGCAAGUCGAACGAUGAAGCCCAGCUUGCUGGGUGUUUUAGUGGCCAACGGGUGAGUAACACGUGAGUAACCUGCCCUUAACUCUGGGUUAAACCUGUUAAACUGGGUCUAAUACCGGAUAGGUGCGUCCACCGCCUGGUGGGUGUUGGAAAGAUUUAUCGUUUUUGGGUGGCCUCGCGGCGUAUCAGCUUGUUGGUGAGGUAAUGGCUAACCAAGGCGACGCCGGGUAGCCGGCCUGUGAGGGUGACCGGCCACCCUGGGACUGAGACACGGCCCAGUCUGGUACGGGAGGCAGCAGUGGGGAAUAUUGCACAAUGGGCGCAAGCGUGAUGCAGCGACGCCGCGUGAGGGAUAACGGCCUUCGGGUUGUAAACCUCUUUCAGUAGGGAAGAAGCGAAAGUGACGGUACCUGCAGAAGAAGCACCGGCUAACUACGUG
rnacentral:rRNA from 1 species